rnacentral:lncRNA from 1 species
UCACACCUGCGCGGGCUUUGAUUGGUGGAGAUCACGUGACACGGCCUCCUUCACUCCUGAGACGUUCGUGGCAGCGGAGAGUCGGCAAAAGUUCUUAUAUUUUGCUCUCUAUCGCGAAAACAGUGUGGUGUGGGCGGUUUGUGGUGUCCUGGCGUGGGUGUUGGAUGGCUGGCGCGGCUGCUGACGGGCGUGGGUGGCGCGGCAGGGAAGGAUGGCGGACAAACACGAUGAUAAAGAUUCCGGCCGGGUUUGUGUAUCAAGGAUCCAUCUCCCCCUCCCUCCCCCCACCACCGCACGCCCCCUACACACCUCCACCACCGAGCUCUGACACGCCACACAACACGCUAUGACACGCUGGGCCACGACACAUUGUAAACCUUGCUGUUAAGAAGAAGAAGAGAGGAAGAAGAAGAAGAAGAAGAAGA